rnacentral:lncRNA from 1 species
UUAAUAAUUGGUCGCCCUAUAAUCAUGUUAUAAGUAUAGGGGCACCUAUAACAAGAUACAUGCCCUUGAUAUCCUUGGCUUGUUCUCCUAACCUGAAUGUGGUCUUCAGUAUGAUGUAGCCUUUCACUUCCACUAGCUCCCCAGAGAAUCCCACUAUUGAUCCCUUUACAGCCUUUAAGUCGUUUGGUCAAGGCAGAGAGCCUAUCGAGUGCGCCCUAGUAAAUGAUAUUCACAAAGCUCCC